rnacentral:rRNA from 1 species
UACGUAGGGUGCAAGCGUUGUCCGGAAUUAUUGGGCGUAAAGAGCUCGUAGGCGGUUUGUCGCGUCGGCUGUGAAAACUCGAGGCUCAACCUCGGGCUUGCAGUGGAUACGGGCAGACUAGAGUGCGGUAGGGGGAGACUGGAAUUCCUGGUGUAGCGGUGGAAUGCGCAGAUAUCAGGAGGAACACCGAUGGCGAAGGCAGGUCUCUGGGCCGCAACUGACGCUGGAGGAGCGAAAGCAUGGGGAGCGAACAGG